GGAUGUGAGGGUGAUCUGGCUGCGACAUCUGUCACUCCAUUGAUCACCAGGGUGGAUUCGGCUGAUUUGGCUGGCUAGGCGGGUGUCCCCUUCCUCCCUCACUGCUGCGUGUACAUCUCUCCUAAAGCUACGUGCUGGGUCAAAGAGGAUGACCUUCCCCGAAUAGAGGACUGGUCUUUGGUCAAAGGUAUUCGAGUAGCUGCACUCCCCUGCUAGAACCUCCAAACAAGCUCUGAAGGGGAAGUUUCUUUAUGGAAGGAAAAGCACAGCACAAGUACAAUAGU
rnacentral:snRNA from 1 species